rnacentral:rRNA from 1 species
UACAGAGGGUGCGAGCGUUAAUCGGAAUUACUGGGCGUAAAGCGUGCGCAGGCGGUUGGUUAAGUCUGGAUGCUGAAGCCCCGGGCUCAACUUGGGAACGGCAUUGGAAACUGGCCAGCUGGAGUGUGGGCAGAGGGGGGUGGAAUUCCGCGUGUAGCAGUGAAAUGCGUAGAGAUGCGGAGGAACACCGAUGGCGAAGGCAGCCCCCUGGGCCAACACUGACGCUCAGGCACGAAAGCGUGGGGAGCAAACAGG